rnacentral:rRNA from 1 species
UACGGAGGGUGCAAGCGUUAUCCGGAUUCACUGGGUUUAAAGGGUGCGUAGGAGGGCAGGUAAGUCAGUGGUGAAAUCUCCGAGCUUAACUUGGAAACUGCCGUUGAUACUAUCUGUCUUGAAUAUUGUGGAGGUGAGCGGAAUAUGUCAUGUAGCGGUGAAAUGCUUAGAUAUGACAUAGAACACCAAUUGCGAAGGCAGCUCGUUACACGAAGAUUGACUCUGAGGCACGAAAGCGUGGGGAUCAAACAGG